UGUAAGCGUAUACCAAAGUUGUUGCAGUUAAAACGCUCGUAGUCGGAAUUUGGCAGUUCCGGAAGUGUGCACGUCGUGUGCGCACUUUGCGGGGACUGCUUUUGUGGUCUUGCGUAGGAUGAGGCACUUUCAUUAGUGAACGUCCUCACGCAACCACUCUUUACUGUGAGAAAAUCAGAGUGCUCAAAGCAGGCAUUUGCCGUGAAUGUAUUAGCAUGGAAUAAUAGAAUAGGACUCGGUUCUAUUUUGUUGGUUUGUUGGGACUGAGUAAUGAUUAAGAGGGACAGUUGGGGGCAUUUGUAUUCCGGCGCUAGAGGUGAAAUUCUCAGAUUGCCGGAAGACAAACUGCUGCGAAAGCGUCUGCCAAGGAUGUUUUCAUUGA
rnacentral:rRNA from 1 species